rnacentral:lncRNA from 10 species
GUGGAACUCAGGAUGUGCACCUGGAUUAACUCAGAAGGAAUUUCCCAGGGUAAAUGGGACAUCGCAGAUUGAUAUCAGCUGGUUCUCUUCAUUGCCUCCUCCAGAAUCUCCAGUUCCCUGAUGAGUUAGAGAUAAACAACUCAUGUGAUGUCAACUAAAAUUUGCUAUCGUUUUCUGGGCUCUGUUGAGUAACCAGCCUCACUUUUUGAUGAGAACCAAGAAACCUGAGCAUUGUAUAAAAAUAAAAUAUAAAUUCCACUGAAAUACAAGCAAGUUAUCCUUCAUUCACAGGCUAAAUUUGCUUUGGACAAGUGAAUGGGUUAAAGUCAAGACUGAAUGACCUGGAAUGCAUCUUUUUGAAGGAAAUGGAGCUGUGCAUGUAGAGGAGAAUGAAAAUAAGGGGAAGUUACAAGACAAAGGUUGGCUAUAACUUCUACAGUUGUGUAUUGAAAGGGAAUUCGACUGUGAUGGAGAUUUAUGUCUUUUAGAUAAAUGAAAUUUCUCCAAUUUGUGCUAUUAUGUAGCUCGUCUUUUCACAGAAAUCCAAGACUACUGACAGAUCAAGAGGUUUCACAUUUCAGAUCCUUUCAGCAUUCAGCAAAUGCAAUAAAUAUCAGAGGUGGCCUGUGUUGAAUGUAAGAACAGAUGUUGUUUCUGCAGGAAGCAGGAUGGAAACUUACACCCACUGGCUUGCUGCAACUUUGAGGAGACUUUCUUCUAUACCUUCCUCUAAAUGUGACUUGAAACCUUCCGCCGUGAUAUUUUAAUAAACUUUCUAUAUCUUGAUAUUUCCUUUAAGGGUAUCAUUCUUGCCCAAGUUACCACCUUGACAAGAGACUGUCUCCAUAGCCCAUCUGUUAGUUCAAUUAACAGGCUUCUGAGAUUUUUGCUUGGGGACUCAGCAUUUAUAUUUAUAUCUCAUCCUCUAGAGUAAUUCUUGCAAAUAAUCUUUGGGAAUGGUGCCUGCUUCCUGUCUAGAUUUGAAGAUCCUGCUUCUAAUGAAGAAUGUUUUUGCCAGAAAAAAAAAAAAGGACUUUAUAUAUCUCCAUGAUUCCAUUUCUUUCUGGAGUAUGGAUUUAUUUUUUGUGGCCAAAUCACCUUCUGUGAAAUGGAGUAUUUGUAUCCUACUCAUGAGGGCCAGCCUCAAGUUCUCUUGGGAAAACUGAAUUUCACAGCUGGCUGGAAUUGUCACCACAAGUUUUGACUGUUUCUGAAGACAGCAUUAUGGAUGGCUUGCACGCACUGCUUUCUUAAAUGUAAUCUAACAGAGGAGGGGUUCUGUCUCUGUGGUGGGCAAAAGAGAGUGUUUCAGAAAUACAGGUGGAAGGCACUCUUGGUGUCUGUGCUGAGCAGAAAAAUAAAUUCUGGUCUGGUAGACUAAAUCCAACUCAGCUUGACCAAAC